GACGAACCGUGCGAACGUUGUUCGGAAUCAUUGGGCUUAAAGGGCGCGUAGGCGGGCGGCCGCGUCCGGGGUGAAAUCCCACGGCUCAACCGUGGAACGGCCUCGGAUACGGGCGGCCUCGAGGGGGGUAGGGGCAUCUGGAACUGUGAGUGGAGCGGUGAAAUGCGUUGAUAUUCACAGGAACUCCGGUGGCGAAGGCGAGGUGCUGGACCCCAUCUGACGCUGAGGCGCGAAAGCCAGGGGAGCGAACGGG
rnacentral:rRNA from 1 species